CAACGACAAAACAACAAACCUAUCGCUGUAAUUAUAUUAUUUUAUAUUAUAUUUUUUUUUAUUUAUUUUAUAUUACAUUAUAUUUAUUUUUUUUAGAUUGUAGAACCUUAUAAUCCUGAAGAUGAUCUUCCUGAGGAAGAAAAACAAAAAAUAGAAGAAAGGAGAAGAGAACGAGCAAGAAUUCAAAAUUUAUUUAGACCCAUUGCUCCGCCACCAGAAGCAAUUGUAGAAGAUGAAGAUGAUGACGAUGAUGAUGAUGAUGAUGAUGUUGAUGUUGAAAAUGUUGUACCUCUAAAUAACUACGAACGAAAUAUACCUGUAGUUUUACCAUCCAUCGAAUCUGUAUGUCUAGGCUGCUGCCUGUGCUUUGCUCCUUUAAGACCGCGAAGACCUUGUUGCCAUCGCAAUUGCGGAUCGCUAGGAGCGUGCACAGGUUGCUGCAUAUGCACAACUAACACAAUCGAGGCGAUCAGAGAAGCGUUGAAUGAAAAAAUCGCUUUCAAAAGACAAUAUUGGGCUAAUAACCCAAUGGAAUAUCAAGAUUGAUAUUGCAUUGGGUUUAUUAGCGUUUUUUUAUUUUUUCAAAUAUAACUUUGUAAAUAAUUUUU